CAUUUCUCCAAGCUACAUUGCUUCUUUCCUUCAUUCUCCACACAUCUGUCCAUACUAUGCAAGGCUUCUCAUUUUUUCUUCUCUCUUCUAUUAAAAAAAUAAAUAAAUAAAUUGAACCUCAAUUUUGAGGGCUCUCAUCGUCUUGCCCCUAGAAUUUUGUGAGGGAGGUAAAUUUCGGAAUGCGUCCUAACAGAUCAGAAAAUUAGAGCUGUUUGUACACUACACCUAUAAGAAGUUCAAUUUCAUGUCUAAGAGAUCGAACCCCUACACUACGACUGUCAGCAAAACUUGUGAUAUCCUCGCUCGUGUCCUUUGCAGAUUGAACUUUACACGGCUUCUUCUCUCUUCUAUUUCUUUUUACCACGGUUGUCUAUAUGUUGUGUAAUUUCAUCACUUUUCGGUGCUGGCCAUCCUAAAGGUUCUGACCUUCUAUUUUUGUUUUUUGCAGAGGUUUGAAGCUUUCAUCAGGGAUCAAUGGAAAUAAUUAUUGAAACAAGGCUUUUUGUAAGUAAAUAUAGAUUUUUGCUAUGAAUGGUAGGUGGUUUGAUUUUACCGUAUGGUUCCAGAUCUGCAAGAUUUUUUAUUUUGGAAAUGAAAUUUAACUCGUAGAAAUUUCGUGGAUUUGGUUCUUCCACACAUGAUUCUUUGCUUAUGAAAGUUCAAUUCUUUUACCGUCUUUUCGUUAAGAAAUGUUUCCAAAUAGUUGUAUUUGAUGGGAACUUUCUUACUAUGAAGUUCUUACCUCAAAAUAAUUGAACUAAUUUAGUAAUUUGUGCAACUCAAGCUGUCUCUCUGACAUUCACCAAUGUGCUGGUGGUUGUUAUUAUACCACAUAUCUACACAUGAUUCUUUGCUUUUGUAUAUUCUUGAGUUUUGACUUCUCUCUUUACGAAUUCACUUUAUGUCAAAAUGGGGUUUACUAAUCCAUUGUCUUUGAUUUAUUUCUCUUUAUCUUUUUCCUGCAAUUUUUUCUUAAAAAUAACUCAUAUGUUGCUUCCCCUCUCUCCCUCGCGAGGCUGACCAUUUUCUGAUGUAAUGUUUGCUAAUAAGCACAAUAUGGAAAAUGCUUUUGCAUCUGUUGGAAGGAGUUAGAGCAUGUUUAUAACGCUUUGUUUAUAAAUAAAUUUUGAUAAUUUUACAGUCACCUUUCAUUUUAAUCAUAUGUAUUAUGUGCUCAUUUCACUUUGCCUACAGUCAACAAAGAGGCAUUUGACAAAGAGACUGGAGAACUUGGAUUAGAAGGUGGAUGAGCAGAGGCAAUCAUCAAAGCUUAUUGUAAAUGAUGUAAACGAAGUGAGAUCUAAUCUUAAUCGGAUUGGGUAUGACAUUAAUUUAAUCCAUGAGAUGGUAUCCCGCUCGCAUACGAAGUGUUAUUGGAUGGUGAGAACACAAGCAUAUAUGAUAGGUACGGUAAAGAGGGACUUAAGCAGCAUGUUGCCAAUGGUGGUGGUACUAAUAGAUAUGGUUGAAUGGAUUUUCAAGAUAUUUUUAGCUUGCGACUUUAUGCCUUCUUUACAUGAAUUGUACAUUUUCAUUUGUACUUUUCAUGUUUACUUAUUAUCGAACAUUUGUUUUGUUUUCUUAUGUAUGAAAUCUCAUGGCUAAAUCCAUUAGGAUUUGGAUUUCUAAUU